CUAAAUUCGAUUUUUGAAUCAUCAAAACCCUUUCGUUCGAUUUCGAAUGGGUAAAACCACAGCCGACAAGUCCACCUCAAAAGCUGAUUCAGCUGUCGCGGUUGUUGAAGACCGAAAAGUUAAAACCAUGAAAAACGGCAAGAGGGAUGCAGAGGAGAUGAUUGAGAAGAAAGUAAAGAAGCCGAAGAUGGAGGAAAAGAAGGUUGCAGAG